UUCGUCUAGCAUCAAUACCCCUUACUAGAAUGACUUGAUACUAAUGCAGAUGUAACAUGUGACCAUUCCUCAUCUUCAGACAUCACCUGACCUCAGUUUGACCUUGACCUUAUUUUGGACUUGGGUUGCUUUAUAUGGGCCAUCUCUUGGUUAACCAAAUGGGACCGUUUCGUCUAGUAUCAAUACCGCUUACAAGAAUGAAUUGAUACUAAUACAGAUGUAACCUGUGACCAUUCCUCAUCUUCAAACAUCACCUGACCUCAGUUUGACCUUGACCUCGUUUUGGACUUAGGUUGCUUUGUAUCGACAAGGAUGCCACCUGGGACAUCAAGCGUUUAUUGAACGCAGCUCUUUGUUUUUAGAAAAAUACAUUAUGAAAUUUAUUUUCAUGUUUUGCGGAUUUCUUUGCAGGAAACUUCACGAGACCAUGCUAUUGAAUUGGUGAUGAAGAGGGCCAGAAUUUGCCAGUGGAGCUGAACAGUGAAUCUUCACAAGACAAAUCUAACGAGAAUGGCAUUGAAGGGGACCAGAAAUUGCCAGUGGAGCUUAAUCAUGAAACUUCAGAAGACAAUACUAAAGAGGACGACGACGAAGGGGGCCAGAAAUUGCCAGUAGAGCUUAAUCAAGUAAGUGGUUUACCUGAUA